AACGAACGCUGGCGGCAUGCCUAACACAUGCAAGUCGAACGAUGCCUCCGGGCAUAGUGGCGCACGGGUGCGUAACGCGUGGGAAUCUGCCCUUGGGUUCGGAAUAACUCGCCGAAAGGCGAGCUAAUACCGGAUGAUGACGUAAGUCCAAAGAUUUAUCGCCCAAGGAUGAGCCCGCGUAGGAUUAGCUAGUUGGUGGGGUAAAGGCCCACCAAGGCGACGAUCCUUAGCUGGUCUGAGAGGAUGAUCAGCCACACUGGGACUGAGACACGGCCCAGACUCCUACGGGAGGCAGCAGUGGGGAAUAUUGGACAAUGGGCGAAAGCCUGAUCCAGCAAUGCCGCGUGAGUGAUGAAGGCCUUAGGGUUGUAAAGCUCUUUUACCCGGGACGAUAAUGACAGUACCGGGAGAAUAAGCUCCGGCUAACUCCGUG
rnacentral:rRNA from 1 species